GAGAGUCGCAUCCCGGGAGACACCCCGGCA
rnacentral:sRNA from 1 species